UUCAAGAACAAAACGAGAGAGAGAGAGAGAGAGAGAGAGAGAGCACCAAAGAAGGGCAUUCGGCCACUUCAAAAAUAAAAAUAAAAAUUGUGGAGCUCAAAUCUUUGGUUCAAACUCAUCUCUUUUGAAUUCCUAUUAAGUUGGAAACCCUCUUCAAUGUGAUACAAAUUUGGAGGCAAGAAAGUACUUUUUUUAUCAAGUGGAAAUUCUUGAAAAAGAUCUUGGAGAACCCGAGACUUGAGUCGGGAUUUAUCUAGUGAGUGAUCGGGGUUUGUUAGCGAGCAAUUGAGGUACAGAAGUUUGUUUUGGUGAUCCUCCGGUAUAGGAUACAUAUUCCGCCACUUGGAGUCCUCCUUUUGAUCCGGAGCUCAUAUUUUGGUACAUAUCUUCUGUUAUACACAUUCUGUAUAUAUGACUAUUUGGGUACGGCGGGGUCCUGUCCCGUCAUAUGUUUCUGUUAUGUUUUGUAGAGGCCUGUAGUCAUAUAUGUGGGUCAUGGGUCAUGUUUGUUCGUUUGUGAUUAUGAUCUGCGACUUAAUGCGGCCCCGUUUACUAUUAUGGCCAAAACGGCCCAUUUGUCUGUAUAUGUGUACAUAUCUGGCGAUGUGUAUUCCGCCAAUCUAUUGGAUUUGGAUAUGAUGUUUCUGUA